AAAAGCUCGUAGUUGGAUCUCAGGCGCAGGCGGGCGGUCCGGCUCGCGCCGGCUCACUGCCCGUUGUCUCCUGCCCUACCCGUCUGCCGGCUCUCUCCCGCGGGUGCUCUUCGCUGAGCGUCCCGGGUGGCCGGCGCGUUUACUUUGAAAAAAUUAGAGUGUUCAAAGCAGGCCGAGCUGCCUGAAUAAUGGUGCAUGGAAUAAUGGAAUAGGACCUCGGUUCUAUGUUGUUGGUUUUCGGAACUGGAGGUAAUGAUUAACAGGGACAAACGGGGGCAUUCGUAUUGCGGCGUUAGAGGUGAAAUUCUUGGAUCGCCGCAAGACGAACUACUGCGAAAGCAUGGUUCAAGAAUGUUUUCAUUAGUCAAGAACGAAAGUCAGAGGCGCGAAGACGAUCAGAUACCGUCGUAGUUCUGACCAUAAACUAUGCCACCUGGCCAUCCGCAGGAGUUGCUUCGAUGACUCUGCGGGCGGCCUCCGGGAAACCAAAGGUUUUGGGUUCCGGGGGAAGUAUGGUUGCAAAGCUGAAACU
rnacentral:rRNA from 1 species